CUCCGCCUCCCGGGUUCACGCCAUUCUCCAGCCUCAGCCUCCCUCAGCGUCCCGAGUAGCUAGGACUACAGGCGCCCGCUACCACGCCCGGCUAAUUUUUUUGUAGUUUUAGUAGAGACGGGGUUUCACCGUGUUAGCCAGGAUGGUCUCCAUCUCCUGACCUCGUGAUCCGCCCGCCUCGGCCUCCCAAAGCGUUGGGAUUACAGGAGUGAGCCACCGCGCCCGGCCGAUUCUUGAAGAAACUGCUCUCAUAAGCUAAGGUUCCUUAUGAUUCUGCAAGGAAGAGAAGACUAAAGCAAAUCACUGUCUGAAAACAUAACAGCUGGCUAAAGCUGGAGUGCAGUGGCAUGAUCUCAGCUCACUGCAACCUCCGCCUCCCGGGUUCAAGUGAUUCUUCUGCCUCAGCCUCCCAAAUAGCUGUGAUUACAGGUCACAGUGUCCAUGUAACUAACUACUGGUUAAGAGGAUAUGGGUAGAAGGCACAUGUUCAACUUCUGGCUUCUGUCCUUGAAAAGUGUGAUGAUUCCAUCCUUUGCUGUCUUCCUUCCCGCUGACUGGAAUGUGGACUUGGUAGUGAGCUACCUUGGACUAUGUGGAUGAAGACAAAGAU
rnacentral:lncRNA from 1 species